rnacentral:rRNA from 1 species
CGUGAACGCUGGCGGUAGGCCUAACACAUGCAAGUCGAACGGCAGCACAGUAAGGGCUUGCUCUUACGGGUGGCGAGUGGCGGACGGGUGAGGAAUACAUCGGAAUCUACUUUUUCGUGGGGGAUAACGUAGGGAAACUUACGCUAAUACCGCAUACGACCUACGGGUGAAAGCAGGGGAUCUUCGGACCUUGCGCGAUUGAAUGAGCCGAUGUCGGAUUAGCUAGUUGGCGGGGUAAAGGCCCACCAAGGCGACGAUCCGUAGCUGGUCUGAGAGGAUGAUCAGCCACACUGGAACUGAGACACGGUCCAGACUCCUACGGGAGGCAGCAGUGGGGAAUAUUGGACAAUGGGCGCAAGCCUGAUCCAGCCAUACCGCGUGGGUGAAGAAGGCCUUCGGGUUGUAAAGCCCUUUUGUUGGGAAAGAAAAGCAGCAGGUUAAUACCCCGCUGUUCUGACGGUACCCAAAGAAUAAGCACCGGCUAACUUCGUG